rnacentral:rRNA from 1 species
UGGGGAAUAUUGGACAAUGGGCGAAAGCCUGAUCCAGCAAUGCCGCGUGGGUGAAGAAGGUCUUCGGAUUGUAAAGCCCUUUCGACAGGGACGAUGAUGACGGUACCUGUAGAAGAAGCCCCGGCUAACUUCGUGCCAGCAGCCGCGGUAAUACGAAGGGGGCGUAGCGUUGUUCGGAAUCACUGGGCGUAAAGCGCACGUAGGCGGAUGUGCCAGUCAGGGGUGAAAAUCCCGGAGCUCAACUUCGGAACUGCCUUUGAUACUGAAGAUCUUGAGUCUGGGAGAGGUGAGUGGAACUGCGAGUGUAGAGGUGAAAUUCGUAGAUAUUCGGAGGAACACCAGUGGCGAAGGCGGCUCACUGGCUCGAUACUGACGCUGAGGUGCGAAAGCGUGGGGAGCAAACAGGAUUAGAUACC